rnacentral:tRNA from 1 species
GGAGGCGUGCCAGAGCGGCCGAAUGGGACUCACUGCUAAUGAGUUGACUUUUUAACGAAGGUCCGGAGGUUCAAAUCCUCUCGCCUCCGCCA